rnacentral:rRNA from 1 species
GAUGAACGCUGGCGGCGUGCCUAAUACAUGCAAGUCGAGCGAACAGAUGAGGAGCUUGCUCCUCUGACGUUAGCGGCGGACGGGUGAGUAACACGUGGAUAACCUACCUAUAAGACUGGGAUAACUUCGGGAAACCGGAGCUAAUACCGGAUAAUAUAUUGAACCGCAUGGUUCAAUAGUGAAAGACGGUUUUGCUGUCACUUAUAGAUGGAUCCGCGCCGCAUUAGCUAGUUGGUAAGGUAACGGCUUACCAAGGCAACGAUGCGUAGCCGACCUGAGAGGGUGAUGGGCAAACCGGGAACGAAACCAGGGCCAGAACCCCGAGGGGGGGAACAAGGAGGAAAUCUUCAGAAAGGGGCGAAAGCGGGAAGGAAAACGGCGGGGGGAGGAAGGAAGGUCUUGGGAACGAAAAACUGUUUUAUUAGGAAAAAAAAAAGGGGAAAGAACAAAUGCAUUUUUGGAGGUAACAAAAAAAAAAACCCACGACAAACAACGUC